rnacentral:lncRNA from 1 species
CUUCGUACAUUUCGUGUCUCACGAGAGCUCACUUCACCUCUGGUUAUUAACUGGGACGACAAGUAGUUGGGGGCACAAUUCUUCAUGCAUUUGAAGGCUAGUAAAGCAUCACGAUAGUAGAGAUGCAAUUUCACGGGAAGCCACUGCAUUUCCUUUAGAAUCGGGGUGAUGUGGUCGAACUUUCUUGUAUUCGUCACUACUCGUGCUGCGAAAUUCUGGACCCCUUGAAGGCGGGAUAGGUUACUGCUGGAAGUGUUUGACCAAAGUGAAGAACAAUAGUAGAGCUUGCUGAAAACCAAAGCAUUGAGUACAUUCUAUGACAAGUGCACUUGUUCAAAAGCUAGCAUGCUAGCUUGUCAAAGUACAAAUUUUGUUCGUCUGUAUGGGUCAACAAAGAAAACUUGUCAAAGUAUUCUGAGCAUUUGAUGUGAUUGGCCAGCGGACUAUUACACUAAUUUUUCUGUCAUGGCGAAUCAUGGCGGCGAUAAACACCUUUUCUGACACGUUCACACAAGUAAAUAAAACUUGUCUUAUGAAAACUUGUCAUAUAAAAUUUGUUGCAUAUACACACGUGCACUUGGCAAAUAAAACUUGUCACAUAAAAACUUGUCAUAGAAAAC